UAAGUAGGUAAGGUAAUCGCUCUCCACCAAUAUAUCGGUGGGGGGAGGAAAGUCCGAACACCCUCGAGCAUAUAAUUUAGUUAUGUGCCCGAUAAAAAAAUAGCGGCUAACAGCCGUCGUCCGCAAGGAUAGAGGUGCGAACAGAGACGCCAAAAUCCGAAAGGAUUGAGGUACCCCGUUUUCACGGGGUAAUUCUUCGCAGUAAUGCGAAGGGUGAAACGGUUAAAUCCUUAUUGGGUGCAAGAGUAAACCCCAGUGAGAUAAAUCGCUAUCUCAUAUGGGUGAAAAGUAAUUCGCUUGAGCCAAAGAGCAAUCUUUGGCCUAGAUAGAUGAUUGCCUAAAACAGAAUUCGGCUUAUUGCCUACUUAGGCU
rnacentral:RNase_P_RNA from 1 species